ACAAAAGUGAAGACGGAAAAAAGUAGAUGUAUGCUGUCAUGCAGAGAGCUGAUGGUUGGUGAAAAUCAGCUGGCGGUAUAGAUUGAAGUUCAUUCCCGAACUGCGAGGCUGAAAUACAGUAGGCUGAGCCGGAGCAGCGCUCGUUAAUGCGCUAUGAGUUGAUCUGAUUCGAGAUUAUUAGGGUGGUACCGCGGAAUAUUCCGUCCCUGCG
rnacentral:ncRNA from 1 species